rnacentral:lncRNA from 1 species
UCAAUACAGCUGUGAAUUCUAAAUGGAUUUUCCUCUUCUUCCUAGUAAGCAAGCAGCAGAGCUGGAAAACUUGGCAGUGAACUCUUUGUCUUUCCUGCUUGUAUCCAUGGAGCCUGGAUUUUACAAGUAGGGAGAGGAAAAAGGUGAAGCAGCCUCUGCUGUGGGUGAAAACCUGCUACAAAUGUGGGUGAUACAGAAUCUGGAACAGUGAAGUAGAGGAAGACUAUCUCCUUGUCUAGAGGUGGAUUACUAUCACUACCACCUACCACUGCAUUGUAAUGUGAGCUAUGAGUAGGUUCAACCUGCUGGCUACCCAGGACACUUCCUGGAUAGUGUUUUUCAUCCAAGGCUCUCUUAGCUGUGUUGGAACAUCAGUUGGUUGCAACACCUCUCUCAGGUAGGUAUUAUUAUACCAUUUUGCAGAUUAAUGAACUGAACCACAG